AAUUCAGGAUCCCACCCGAGCCUGACACCCCUUCAGUGCCACCUCAUCCCCUCCAAAUUCCCAUUAGCUACUAUUAUUUAUCCAUUUUAUAUAUAUAUAUAUUUGGCUUAGUGCCUGUGUUCCCAAAUCCUUCAGACAAAGCAGCUUCAGAACCUUGCUUCAGAACUCCCCUGCUUUGAGGGUUUUGCUUUUAAAUCUCAUUUGUAUUAUGGGGUUAUUUGUCAAUCUUUUUCCAGCGCUCUUCUAGUUUAGUGUUUGGGCUUGUUGGGAAGGGAAAGGGACAGAUGAUGCUUUAGUCAGAUGGUUAAAAAGAUUCCUCUGGAUGAGGAGUGUUGCUUGGUAGCACACAGUUGAGCGGUGGUAUUGAAAAGGCAUCAUGUGUGAAUUGGGAAAGUUUUUGUCUCCUCCUUUAUUACAGUCCCUCUGAUGACGCCACGAAUCUGGGAAUGAAGAACUUCUUCAAGCUGAUUGGAAAUGGCAUUGCGGAGCUGAAACUUAACUGGAGGAAAUAUAUCUCCCGAAGAAGGAAAUAUAAUGCACUUUAAAGAUCUGACUUCUGGUGAAAAAUUCAAGCCUAGAGAAAACUUGUCCGCGUUGUUCGGAAGAAUGGGUUGGACAAUUUUCUUCAGUUCCACAGGAUAUCUGAGUGCCAUGCUGAGCUUGAUCUCUGCAGCAUGCUCUGUGCUUCUCAUCUCUUCCUGAUGCACUGCAUGGUCAGCUCUUUAAUUGCAAGCUCCCUGAAGGGCCAUCUUCAGCACUACCCAUUGCAUAGCCCUAUAUUGCUGAUACUGAACAGCAGUUCCUACCAGCUCUAUGGUAGAUAUUAUCCUGAAGGGGAGGAUAAAGAAACUGGCCACCAAGAUGGUAAUCACUAGUGGAAAUGAAGAAGACAAAGGCAGUCAAGAAAAGGAAAGCAAAGAAGAAACCAUCUUGGCAAUGCUUGGAAUUAUUGGGACAAUUCUGAACCUCAUUGUGAUCAUUUUUGUGUACAUUUACACAACGUUGUAAACUAGCAGGCAUGCAAAUAGAACAGAUAAAACGGCCAUUAAGAGUGACAACAAACAUUGCUGACUAUUGACAAGUUGUUUAAUCAGAAUUGACUCUGUAUUAUAUUAACACAUCAUAAAAGCACUGCCUGCAGGCAGCGAAGGCUGAAGCACAAUUAAUUUAACAAGACUUCUUCACGCAGUAACAAGCUAAACUCUUCUGUCCUGCCCUCUUCCUUUUGCUUUGGUUUCUGGUUUGGGGGAAACAUGACUGCAAUUAUGUAAGUUGUAGCUUUGAAGAAAUCCACCUGGGUUAUGUUAUUUUAACACAAUUAAAGAAAAAAAAAGGAAAAAAAAAAGAAAAAAAAGAAACUGUACACUAUAUACAAUUAAAAAUGUAUACUGUAUACCUGCAAAGAUGGAAUUCUAAGAUAGCUACAUAGCACAGAUCACGUGUCCAUUAGGUCAAAUGAUAUUUUUUCUCUUGAUUUAUGCUUUUACUUACAUUGAAUCUGACAAGCUUUUUGUUUAGAAUGAACAUAUGGUGCAAUCAUGAAAAAAAACAAUUCUAUUGAGCAAAAUCUGCCUAAAACUGAUAAGAUGUUGGGAGAAAUGCAGUAUGUGGUUAUUUUAACUUUCUCAUUUGCUUAACAUCUGUGUCUGUUCAUACCAAUGUUUAUAAAUAUAUAUUUUUAAUAAAUGUGCUAUAUUUUUAGCAUGG
rnacentral:lncRNA from 7 species